AGGACGAACGCUGGCGGCGUGCCUAACACAUGCAAGUCGAACGCGCUCCAUUCGGUAGCAAUACUGAUGAAGAGUGAGUGGCGAACGGGUGAGUAGCACGUGAGCAACCUGCCCCGAAGACUGGGACAACACCGGGAAACCGGUGCUAAUACCGGAUACCCUUAUCGGACCGCAUGAUUCGAUAAGGAAAUGGAUUCCGCUUCGGGAGGGGCUCGCGGCCUAUCAGCUUGUUGGUGGGGUAAUGGCCUACCAAGGCUUCGACGGGUAGCUGGUCUGAGAGGACGAUCAGCCACACUGGGACUGAGACACGGCCCAGACUCCUACGGGAGGCAGCAGUGGGGAAUCUUGCGCAAUGGGCGAAAGCCUGACGCAGCAACGCCGCGUGGAGGACGAAUGCUUUCUGAGUUGUAAACUCCUUUCAGCAGGGACGAUAGUGACGGUACCUGCAGAAGAGCACCGGCCAACUACGCGCCAGCAGCCG
rnacentral:rRNA from 1 species